rnacentral:lncRNA from 1 species
GAGCCCCAGGCGAAAUAGUUGCAGAUCAGGCCUUAUGGGCCUUUGGGCCUGCCUAACCCAUUGACAUCUCUGAAUAUGCUUGCAUACUUGAGAAGGUUUUGAUUUGAGGGUUAUUGGAUAUCUCUGAAUAUGCUUGCAUACUUGAGAAGGUUUCGAUUUGAGGGUUAUUGGAUUUUUUUUCCCGACUAAGACAAGUGUGAGGACUUAUGUGGGCAUAUAUUUAGUCCUACGUCGAUUAUUCGCUAGGUAGCUUUGGGGUACUUAUAUAGGAUCAAGGAGCUCAAAUAAUACCUUUCGGCCAGCUUUUUUGGAUGAGAUCAUUGAUUGUUACAAAUAGUAUCAGAGCGGAUCCGACCCAUAACCUAUGCGAACUAGGAAACAUUACAACACGGAUCUAUUGGUGCUGACAUGGGCCGAUUAUGGUACUUGUAAUUAUAUUUGAAUGGAUUUAAACUCUUAGCCUAAUGAGGAUGCCAGAGCUUAAACAAGAAGAGUAUGUGAGGAGCUGUGCAGAUAUGUGUUCAAUUCUACAUCGGUUAUUUAUUAGAUAAAU